rnacentral:rRNA from 1 species
AACAUAUCAAUAAGCGGAGGAAAAGAAACCAACAGGGAUUGCCCUAGUAACGGCGAGUGAAGCGGCAACAGCUCAAAUUUGAAAUCUGGCUCUUUCAGAGUCCGAGUUGUAAUUUGCAGAGGGCGCUUUGGCGUUGGCAGCGGUCCAAGUUCCUUGGAACAGGACGUCACAGAGGGUGAGAAUCCCGUACGUGGUCGCUGGCCUUCGCCGUGUAAAGCCCCUUCGACGAGUCGAGUUGUUUGGGAAUGCAGCUCUAAAUGGGAGGUAAAUUUCUUCUAAAGCUAAAUACUGGCCAGAGACCGAUAGCGCACAAGUAGAGUGAUCGAAAGAUGAAAAGCACUUUGGAAAGAGAGUCAAAUAGCACGUGAAAUUGUUGAAAGGGAAGCGCUUGCAGCCAGACUUGCCUGUAGUUGCUCAUCCGGGCUUUUGCCCGGUGCACUCUUCUGCGGGCAGGCCAGCAUCAGUUUGGGCGGUUGGAUAAAGGUCUCUGUCAUGUACCUCUCUUCGGGGAGGCCUUAUAGGGGAGACGUCAUGCAACCAGCCUGGACUGAGGUCCGCGCAUUUAUGCUAGGAUGCUGGCGUAAUGGCUGUAAGCGGCCCGUCUUGAAACACGGACCAAGGAGUCUAACAUCUAUGCGAGUGUUUGGGUGUCAAGCCCGAACGCGUAAUGAAAGUGAACGGAGGUGGGACCCCAUUAGGGUGCACCAUCGACCGAUCCUGAUGUCUUCGGAUGGAUUUGAGUAAGAGCAUGGCUGUUGGGACCCGAAAGAUGGUGAACUAUGCUUGAAUAGGGUGAAGCCAGAGGAAACUCUGGUGGAGGCUCGCAGCGGUUCUGACGUGCAAAUCGAUCGUCAAAUUUGGGCAUAGGGGCGAAAGACUAAUCGAACUAUCUAGUAGCUGGUCUGCUGCU